AUACGUAGGUGACAAGCGUUAUCCGGAUUUACUGGGCGUAAAGGGCGUGUAGGCGGUCUUGCAAGUCAGAAGUGAAAUUCCUGAGCUCAACUCGGGCGCUGCUUCUGAAACUGCUUUACUUGAGUGCUGGAGAGGAUAGUGGAAUUCCUAGUGUAGCGGUAAAAUGCGCAGAUAUUAGGAGGAACACCGGUGGCGAAGGCGGCUAUCUGGACAGUAACUGACGCUGAGGCGCGAAAGCACGGGGAGCAAACAGGAUUAGAUACCCUGGUAGUCCGUGCCGUAAACGAUGAAUACUAGGUGUAGGGGGUAUCGACUCCCUCUGUGCCGCAGUUAACACAUUAAGUAUUCCACCUGGGGAGCACGGCCGCAAGGUUGAAACUCAAAGGAAUUGACGGGG
rnacentral:rRNA from 1 species